AGAACGCCGCAAUGGUGACCAAGGGGUAGAAAGAAACGACUCGGCCCUCGCGUCGUCCCCCGCGGGGGACUCGACGCCGAAUAGGGUUUCUGUCGCGCCGCCAUCCCCCCUCCCCCUCUUCUCUCCCCGUCGCCAGAGGCCCGCGCGGCCGUCGACGACGGUGGCGGCGAGUUCUUGCUACUUCUUUCUCGGGCGGAGGGCCUUGGGUGCGCCGGGGCGGCGGCCUCGGCGUCGCCAGUUCUCCAGGGGCAGCCGGCGUCCUCGGCCGGCUGGGCGGCGAGGCGGCGGCGGUUGAGGAGCUUCGCCUCCCCCCUCUCCCUUUCGGCCCGCUCCCCUGCCGGAUCCAGCCGCCGCCGGUUCUGCUGCCGGGCGGGGUUAGUAGUGCCAAGCAGACCAAGUAUGAAACAAAAGUCUUCAAUUUGGGCGGAGAAGUUAUUUCAUCAAUCCAGUAUGAGCUGGCAACUCAUAUUUUAACUUUGGAUAAUAUCGGUGAAGGAGCAAUUAAGUUAUGGACAAUUGAAGGAAAAAGGGUAGUUUCUAGUGAUUGGAUCGAUGGGUGCAACAAUGCUAGUGGCUCCGAUUGUACCACAUCAAGCAGUAGCUGUCCAAGGUCAGUUGUAUCAACCAACAAAAGAAAAAGGUCCUGCAUUGAAUGAAGUGGUACAUCGCAGUCUGAGGAGAAUAAAAAUGGAAAAUUUCAUCAUUGGCUGAAUUGUUCAUUAGAUAAAUCUGAAACAUUUACUCUGCAAGAAUUUAUCAGUGAUAAUGAAGAUCGUGUGACCCAACUUGUCCCGACACCGGGAAGUGAUAACAACCAUUUGUCCAUUUUGGCGGCCACUGAAGUCAAACUCUAUUCCAGAAAAUCUUAUUUAGCCAUGGCAGCUAUGCAUGUUGAUGGAAUGACAAUGAGAGGACAGUUUGGUGCUGCCAAUUUUGUAGUUGAUAGAUCCAAAUCUGUUAAGGUUGGCAACCUAACAGAAGGAACACUAAAGGAAAUCAAAACAAAUGAUGAUUUGGAUCUAGACAAGGCGAGUUUUGCGAGAAUGAUCAGAAACGAAGUGCUCCUUGGAAAGGCAAUACCAAACGAUAUUUUUGAGUGGCUUUCGAUGUUGUUGAAGGGUGAACCCCCAGAACUAUUAUACUGCCAUAUUGGGUUGCUUGAUGAUUUCUUAGGAGGACAUAUCUUGAUGACCCUAUAUGAUAGGUUGAUUGAUCUAGAGAAAGAUGAUCCAGAAGCGUACAAUUCUGUAAUCCGUGCAUUACCACAGUAUAAGGGAUGGCAGAGAAAGACCAAAUUUCUAAGGAACUCAUUUCUGGAGCAGACUUUCUCCUACGAAGAUAAAACAGGGAAGAAAACCAUCUACAAAGACAAUGUGAGGGGAUUGCUUCACCUUCUUAGAAAUUGCAAGAGGCAUGCAGCCAUUUCUGUUGAGUUGUUCAGCUGUAUCAUUGGUCAGUACUUCAGGCGAAUUGCCUCGGAUUUUCAAAGAGCGAUGCACAAGGUUGGAUGCCUUCAGAAAUUGAAUCUCCAUUAUAUACUUAACUAAGGCUUUACACAGAGCAAUAUUACGUAAAUGAAAUGCAGUCCGAUGCCAUUCCAGAAAUGCAAAGGUCUAACCUUGUUUCCUGCAUAAUACAGAUUUCUUGAAGCUAUCUGGUGAAAGUGUUCAAAGAUAUUUAGUGACUAUUCUAACGCCAUCUUAGCAGCAGAAAAGAGACCCAAGUUGAAGCCAUAAAGUAUAAAGGCGUUCCUAAAGGGCUGGUGACUGCUGAUUUUUUUGGAAAGCUAAUGAAAAUCUUGAUCAUAUGUUUAAGUCACAUAGGCAUUGGAUCAAUCACAGAAAUGUGACAAUUUUAAUAGAACACAAUGCUUAUUCUUGCUGGCCUUUUAGCUGUAAUUAUUAUUAUCCUUGAUAUUAUGAGGUUUUGUGUGACUCGACUUGUAUAAUUGUUGGGGUGGGUUUAAUUACUUCAUAAUUUUGCUAAUUACUA